AUGGCCCGACCGAGAGCGCGGGGCCACGGGGGGGGACGGCCCGGGCCGAAAGCGAAGGGUUCGGGCUCUCGGCGGGGCACGGGGGGGGGCAGCGUUCCCCCGCCGCGACCCCCUCCCGCCGCCGCACGUCUUUCUUCCCCGCGCCGCGCUCCGGCGCCAGCCAUGUUAUGCGCGGCGGGCACGGCCGGGCGGCCAACAAGAGCGCGGCCACACGAGCGGCCCGGGCCGGACCGGGGAGCGGCGGCGCGGGCGGGCGGAAAGGAUCGGGGCGCGGGAGGCGGCGGCCACGGUCCCGGCGUGGGGCCGGACGCGGCGCGGCUCCCUGUCACCGCCGGAGCGACAGCCAUGUUAAUGCGGAGCCACACGGCGACGCGCCGAGCGCCUGCAACUUUCCCCCGCCGCUCCUCGCCGCGCCGCUCCCAGCCGGGGCACACACACGGCGACACACGGCCGGGGCCGAGCGGCGGCAUCGGGCGGCGGGAGGAGCCCGGCCCGGGCGGGACGGGGCGGCGGUCCCACGGCGGGCAGCGGCAACACGGAACCAGCGGGUGGGCGCGGGGCGACCCGGGGCGCGGGGGAGGGGGGGGGUCCCGGCUGGGCAGCGCGGGGAACGGGGACGGGGCGGCCGCCGCGCCCCGCUCCGCCCGCAGCACCGCGCCGCGCCUUAUGUAUCCCGGCCCCGCCGCGACCCGCGCGAGGGGAGAAAGUUUUGGGGAAUUCUUUUUUAAUAAGGAAAAAAAAAAUAAAAAGACGGAAGAAAAAAAAAAAAAAAACGAAAAAAAAAAAAAAAAAGGAAAAAAAAAAAAAAAAAGGCUCGGUAGAAGGAGAGGAGCGGGCCGGCAGCGCGGGGCAGCGCGGGGCGCGGAGCACAGCGGGCAGCCGCCCCCCGAAAAGUUGCGUUGGGGCCGCACGUACCUGUAUUGUUCGCGGCAGUGUGCGGGAGCGGAGCGCAGGGCACGGCGCGGGCUCGGCGCGGCUCAGCCUCGCGUUGGCUGCCUACGAGAGCGGCCUGAUUGGCUGCGGGGCUCCGGCGUUUAA
rnacentral:lncRNA from 1 species